AGGACGAACGCUGGCGGCGUGCUUAACACAUGCAAGUCGAGCGGCCGUAGCAAUACGGCAGCGGCAGACGGGAGAGUAACACGUGGGAACGCGCCCUUCGGUUCGGAAUAACUCAGGGAAACUUGGGCUAAUACCGGAUACGCCCUUACGGGGAAAGAUUUAUUGCCGAAGGAACGGCCCGCGUCCGAUUAGCUUGUUGGUGAGGUAACGGCUCACCAAGGCGACGAUCGGUAGCUGGUCUGAGAGGAUGACCAGCCUCACUGGGACUGAGACACGGCCCAGACUCCUACGGGAGGCAGCAGUGGGGAAUAUUGGACAAUGGGCGCAAGCCUGAUCCAGCCAUGCCGCGUGGGUGAUGAAGGCCCUAGGGUUGUAAAGCCCUUUCGGCGGGGAAGAGUAAUGACGGUACCCGCAGAAGAAGCCCGGCUAACUUCGUGCCAGCAGCCGC
rnacentral:rRNA from 1 species